rnacentral:snRNA from 1 species
UUAUAUACGUGAGUGGAUUAAAAGAGCUUGUUUUGGAAUGAUACAGAGAUACAAAGAUUAGCAUGGCCCCUGUACAGGGAUGACAAAUUUGUAAAGCAUUCCAAAUUUUU